rnacentral:rRNA from 1 species
AGAGAGCUUGCUUUCUCGAGCGAGUGGCGAACGGGUGAGUAACGCGUGAGGAACCUGCCUCAAAGAGGGGGACAACAGUUGGAAACGACUGCUAAUACCGCAUGACGCAUGACCGGGGCAUCCCGGGCAUGUCAAAGAUUUUAUCGCUGGAAGAUGGCCUCGCGUCUGAUUAGCUGGUUGGUGAGGUAACGGCCCACCAAGGCGACGAUCAGUAGCCGGACUGAGAGGUUGACCGGCCACAUUGGGACUGAGACACGGCCCAGACUCC